rnacentral:rRNA from 1 species
CGCCAGACUCCUACGGGAGGCAGCAGUGGGGAAUAUUGCACAAUGGGCGCAAGCCUGAUGCAGCCAUGCCGCGUGUAUGAAGAAGGCCUUCGGGUUGUAAAGUACUUUCAGCGGGGAGGAAGGCGAUAAGGUUAAUAACCUUGUCGAUUGACGUUACCCGCAGAAGAAGCACCGGCUAACUCCGUGCCAGCAGCCGCGGUAAUACGGAGGGUGCAAGCGCUAAUCGGAAUUACUGGGCGUAAAGCGCACGCAGGCGGUCUGUCAAGUCGGAUGUGAAAUCGCCGGGCUCAACCUGGGAACUGCAUUCGAAGCUGGCAGGCUGGAGUCUUGUAGAGGGGGGUAGAAUUGCUGGUGUAGCGGUGAAAUGCGUAGAGAUCUGGAGGAAUACCGGUGACGACGGCAGCCCCCUGGACAAAGACUGACGCUCAGGUGCGAAAGCGUGGGGAGCAAACAGGAUUAGAUCCCCUUGUA